rnacentral:lncRNA from 1 species
ACCAACAUCACACCUCUCUGGGUCAAAAGGCAAACUUUUAAAUGUUUGCUAGGUCUGAUUCAAGACAAUGCAUCUGACCUACCCUAAAGCUCCAAGUUGGUCUUCACAUCAGCGUUGUUAGGUUCACGGUUCUCAGGUAAAGCUGGGCGAAAUCAUCAACGCCUUCUCUCAUCUGCUUGUUAGCUUGUAUUUCCUCCCUAGUCAAAAUAGGUGGGGCCAUAUGAACCUCAAUACGAUCUUCCUAUUCACCAUCAUUAUAUAAAGAGAUUUGAAAGAGUCGAGUGAAAAAGCUUUCUUAACAAGGGUGUUCCCAAAUACCCUUUAUGAAUCAAAAUCAUCAAAUAAGGAUAUAACUUCUUGGCCCAAGAGAUCAUCAUCAAUGGGAGGGAGAUGAUAAUUAGGGGUACCCUCAUUCUCACAACAGAAGAAAUAUCACUAUCAAAGUCACUCACUAGGUUAAUAAUACUAUCACUCAUCCUGACUAGAAAACUGGAAAUGCUAAGAAAAAGCUUAAGUUGAUGUGGGUGUCUGGGUAUUUGAGAUUGAUGAAGCGGAAUGAAUGAAAAAAGGUAGAGACUCUGAUCAAGGAACUACAAUCACUCUAAUUAAUGCUCUCGGGAAGGAAAGGAUGACAACAUUUACUAAUAAAGUGUAUAUGAAUGAGCUUGAAUGUUAAGGAUUGUGAAAAGUUUUUCAGCGUUCAACCCUCUAUCUAUAUGCAAAGAUUAUUGAACUAUCCAAAUUUGCAAGGGAAAGAAGUAGGGAAUCAAUGAUUGGAUUUCUCCUUGGGAAUGCAAACAAACUCGAGUGCACUAUUGGUCAGUCAUGUCCUAACUUAUCGCGUAAGCCCAUGUGUUAGAAGAAGUCAGUGAAACAUAUCAAUGAUAAAAAUGCAGUUAAUGCGCUUAUUCCCCACUACUUUUUCAAUUGACUAUAAGCGUUCCACUUCCAGUUUACAUUGUUCAACAUCCUUUGAGGCCGACCAAAGUCACUAAAGGCUUCCCCCACUCUCCUAGUUCCCGACAAAGCCUUAUAAGCAACUGUUAUGGGCCAACCAGAAGGCCAAAUAGCCGAGUUCUAAUUCACCUCAAACCCAUUCCACUUGACCCAAGUAUAAAAGUCAAUUCACAUGGAAACCAGUGUACACUAUAUGAUCUCGAUAUUUACUACUCUCAUAUUGAAUUUUGAAAUUACUUUGGGCAUUGGAGUUCUAACCUUGCAGGUUUAUCCCUGCACCGUCACACUUGAGAUCAACAUCAUUGGUUCAAGAUCUUCAGUUCACCAAUUGCAUUCAAUUUUGGUUCUGGGACGAAACACCAUUAAAGUAUUAUGAAAAUCGAUAGAAACAUGUAUAAUUAUUGGAUGUCGUAAGAGGUUAUAAAUGAUGCCCUAGAUUUUUCAGAUAGGCUUCAUGUUUUCUAUAGUGAUUCAGGUUUGGUUCAUACCAUGCCUUUAUAACUAAGUCGUUAUUUUGCGACAAACUUCAUUCAGAAUCUCCUCACAUUCAUCACCUUUAGACAUGUUAAAAAUAAUCUUUCUUCUCUCAGCAACACAUAUCCCAUGGGCAGUCAAAUCAAGCAACUUAUUAUAAUAUUAUGACUGUAGUUGAUUUCCUUACCAUAGAUAUAAGAAAAAAACAUGUGUAGUACCUCAUUUGUGAGUGUUCAGAAAAGAAUUUUAUGACAAAUGAUUGAUUGUUCUCCUUAACCAUUUUGUUUAGUUUCACCUAAUUUCUUUGAUAGAUCAUGUUAAAGAAAUCUAGAUAAUCAUCCGACCCACACACACAAGAUACAAGUGUAUGUGGAUGAUAAAAAAUAUUUCGUUUAAAGGGGAGCAUAUAAGUGGGUGAACUCACAUUUAUAUGGGGACAUUGUUAUGAUACAAGUGAGAUUGAAAUCCCACAUUUGUUUGAAAAAUGGAGAUCGAGAGAACUCAUAAAGUGGAGAGUGAUGUGUGGUUGUUUUCGAUUCAACUUGAAUGCUUUAUCACUACUCCAAUUUUGUCCUUUAAAUUUGAGGCUUUUUAAGUCUGUUAUUCAUUACCACUAACGUGUAGCACAUAUGUGUUGCAGGUUGUUUGUUUGUCUUUCGUAAUUAAAAAUAAAUAAAAAAUUAUAUUAAUAUUUAUGUUAUUAAAAAAUAACACAUUAAAUUCUAACAUUAAAAUUUUAUUUAAAAAUUAAAUGAGAUGAAGUAGAAUGGUAUGAGAUAGUAUUAAAUAAUAUCUUAUUAUAUAAUUUAAUUAAAAUUAAAUGUAGGAUAGUGAAAUGACACGAUCCUCUAUUUAAAAUAUAGAUUUAAAUGGUCUUUUGAUUCUAGUAAGUUAGUGAAAAUUUAAUUUUUUUCUUGUAAUUUAUUUAUUUUGUUCUGAGUCCCUAUAUCUCACUUUUGUAUUGCUUUUUGUCCCUAAAACUAAAAUUAGCAGAAAAAUUGGAAUGAAAAUCGAUAAAAAAUCUAUAAAUUUUCCUAGGAAUUUUGACUUUAGAACUAAAACCAACACAAAAAUAAGAUAUAAGGACUCAGAUAAAAAAAAUUAUAACCAAAAAUUAAUAUAUAUAUAUAUAUAUAUAUAUAUAUAACAAAUCAUUACAAACAUUUUAUUUUAUUGGGAUGAACAUCAUUAUUAUUGAAAAAACACCAUUUUUGUAUUAUUUUAUAGAAACUCCACAGUACUACGAACCACAAAGUACUCUCUAGACACGUGAAUCGAAAGCAAAUUACUAUUUUAAGUUUUACCCAUUAAAAAAAAAGAAAAAAGAAAAGAAAACGGUGAUUAGACUGAAUAGAAAAUGAAAUUCCAAAGAAAGGAACAGUGACUAGUGACUCACUACUGACUGAGUGAGGAAUUCAGAAUCUAAUUCUAAUUCUAAUCUAUCCACACCAAAACAAACACACACAAACUCAACCUGUAUCUCACUCACUCUCACUCAUGAAGAUCCCAGAAAAACUCCUCAAACUGAAAUACCAUUUCCUCACAACAAUCCUCUUAUCUCUAACCCUCUUUUCUCUCAUACUCAUGGCCCCAAAAUUACUAACCCUAAUUACCUAUUUCUGGCCACUCUUUCUCUCCACCGCUCUCGUCCUCACCCUCGUCUUCGUCUUCGCCAAAACCUCUCCUCUUCCUCACACCGACGCUUCGAUUCAUAAGGAUCUCCUUGAUUACGUCUCCGGUGACCACGAAUCGCAGUUCGAUCUUCACAAUAAGUCCGAUUAAGUACUCCGAUAAAAGUUACCGUCACAACAAGGUGCAGAAGAUGCAGAUCCGGCAUCGAUAUGUAGUAGUACUAAUCCAACUCUAUUAUUGUUUCUUUAAUUUAGUUUAAUCUUUUUUUUUCUCUUUUAAUUAGAAUUAUCUUAGUACUUUUAUAUAUCUUGUGAAUUUGUAUCAAGAUGUGUCUGGGAUUGAAAUUAUUAAUUAAAUCCUUUUUCUUUCUAUUUUUCUUAUUAAAAUUUUUUUAAUCGAUAUUUAAAUGAAGUAAAUUUCAUAUUAUUAUUUUAUUUUGGGUUUAAUCGAUCCUUAAAGGAAAUAUAAAUUUGAUCGUACACUAAUAUUCUUGCAAGCAUCAUUUUGGGUCAAUCGUACAAGCACCACGUGACAUCAAUUCUCGAUGUUGGUAUCUCUCAACCAUUCUAUUAUUGUUUACGGGACGGAUGAUGACUACCGUUAGAUUAAGAUUAAGAUCGGACGACAGAAAAUUUAAACAAGACUGAAUUGACAUAAAAUUUAAAUAAGACUUUGAAUUUUUUAAUGAUUAAAAUUCUGAAAUUUAAAAUUAUAUCAUAUCAAUAUUAUUCAAUCCUAGAUAAUCCCAUCCAUAUACACGAGUGGUUUGAUGUAUGGAUUUUGCUAUCUCAUAGAUAAUGCCUAUCUCCAUUGCUCUAUAAUUGUCCUAGAUUUAUCCAAUGGAAUGUGG